rnacentral:rRNA from 1 species
CCUACGGGUGGCAGCAGUCGAGAAUCAUUCACAAUGGGGGAAACCCUGAUGGUGCGACGCCGCGUGGGGGAAUGAAGGUCUUCGGAUUUUAAACCCCUGUCAUGUGGGAGCAAAGUAAAAAGAUAGUACCACAAGAGGAAGAGGCGGCUAACUCUGUGCCAGCAGCCGCGGUAAUACAGAGGUGUCAAGCGUUGUUCGGAAUCACUGGGCGUAAAGGGUGCGUAGGCGGUUUCGUAAGUCGUGUGUGAAAGGCGCGGGCUCAACCCGCGGACGGCACAUGAUACUGCGAGACUAGAGUGAUGGAGGGGGAACCGGAAUUCUCGGUGUAGCAGUGAAAUGCGUAGAUAUCGAGAGGAACACUCGUGGCGAAGGCGGGUUCCUGGACAUUAACUGACGCUGAGGCACGAAGGCCAGGGGAGCGAAAGGGAUUAGAUACCCGAGUAGUC